UGCCAGAUGCCUUCUUUUCCUCUUCUUGG
rnacentral:piRNA from 1 species